ACUCAAAUGAAUUGACGGGGGCCCGCACAAGCGGUGGAGCAUGUGGUUUAAUUCGACGCAACGCGAAGAACCUUACCUGGGCUCGAACGGCUUCUGAUCGCCGGUGGAAACACUGGCUUCCCCGCAAGGGGCAGGAGUCGAGGUGCUGCAUGGCUGUCGUCAGCUCGUGUCGUGAGAUGUUGGGUUAAGUCCCGCAACGAGCGCAACCCUUGUCCUGUGUUGCUAAUCGAAAGAUGCACUCUCAGGAGACCGCCAGCGAUAAGCUGGAGGAAGGUGGGGAUGACGUCAAGUCAUCAUGGCCUUUAUGUCCAGGGCUACACACGUGCUACAAUGGACGGUACAAAGCGCUGCGAACCCGCGAGGGGGAGCCAAUCGCAAAAAACCGUUCUCAGUUCGGAUUGCAGGCUGCAACUCGCCUGCAUGAAGCUGGAAUCGCUAGUAAUGGCGUAUCAGAACGACGCCGUGAAUACGUUCCCGGGCCUUGUACACACCGCCCGU
rnacentral:rRNA from 1 species